rnacentral:rRNA from 1 species
CGUCCCUGCCCUUUGUACACACCGCCCGUCGCUGCAACCGAUCGAAGGGUCCUGUGAACUCGAUGGACAGCCCAUCCCCUUCUUGGGGUUGGGCUGGAAGUUGCGUAAAUAGAGCCCUUUAAAGGAUGCAAAAGUCGUAACACGGUUUCCGUAGGUGAACCUGCGGAAGGAUCAUUC